rnacentral:rRNA from 1 species
AUUGAACGCUGGCGGCAUGCCUAACACAUGCAAGUCGAACGGCAGCACAGUAAAGAUUUCGGUCUUUAUGGGUGGCGAGUGGCGGACGGGUGAGUAAUGCGUAGGAAUCUGUCCUGGAGAGUGGGAUAACCCGAGGAAACUCGGGCUAAUACUGCAUGAUAUCGAGAGAUCAAGGGCAGGGGAACCUUCGGGGCCUUGCGCUCUAGGAUGAGCCUACGUCGGAUUAGCUAGUUGGUGGGGUAAAGGCCUACCAAGGCGACGAUCCGUAGCUGGUCUGGGAGGAUGACCAGCCACACUGGGACUGAGACACGGCCCAGACUCCUACGGGAGGCAGCAGUGGGGAAUCUUGGACAAUGGGGGAAACCCUGAUCCAGCGAUGCCGCGUGUGUGAAGAAGGCCUUCGGGUUGUAAAGCACUUUAGUUGGGGAAGAAAAGUAAUGAGCGAAUAACUGAUUGCUCUGACGGUACCCAAAGAAUAAGCACCGGCUAACUCUGUGCCAGCCGCCGCCGUAA